AUUGAACGCUGGCGGCAGGCCUAACACAUGCAAGUCGAGCGGAUGAAGGGAGCUUGCUCCUGGAUUCAGCGGCGGACGGGUGGGUAAUGCCUAGGAACCUGUCUGGUAGUGGGGGAUAACGUCCGGAAACGGGCGCUAAUACCGCAUACGUCCUGAGGGAGAAAGUGGGGGAUCUUCGGACCUCACGCUAUCAGAUGAGCCUAGGUCGGAUUAGCUAGUUGGUGGGGUAAAGGCCUACCAAGGCGACGAUCCGUAACUGGUCUGAGAGGAUGAUCAGUCACACUGGAACUGAGACACGGUCCAGACUCCUACGGGAGGCAGCAGUGGGGAAUAUUGGACAAUGGGCGAAAGCCUGAUCCAGCCAUGCCGCGUGUGUGAAGAAGGUCUUCGGAUUGUAAAGCACUUUAAGUUGGGAGGAAGGGCAGUAAGUUAAUACCUUGCUGUUUUGACGUUACCAACAGAAUAAGCACCGGCUAACUUCGUG
rnacentral:rRNA from 1 species